rnacentral:lncRNA from 1 species
GGAUGUGGCACAUGGCUUGAGCCUACUCUUGAGGUUCUCCAGUGAUCUGCUGGUUAGAGGCACAGCUCAUCUACCUGCAUAUUCUGGAGCUGAAAUGUCCACCUAUGGAGGAGGUUCAAUGAAUUUCAGAUUUGUACAACAGAAGAAGAAACAAUGUGAUGAGAAGUCUACCUCUUCAAAAGUUACAGAGCAUGAUGGUACUGUAGAAACCAGGGCAACAAAUGCUGAAUGUUUAAAGAACUGCUUUGCAUAAUGGAGAUUGGCACCAAAAG